rnacentral:rRNA from 1 species
UACGUAGGGAGCGAGCGUUGUCCGGAUUUAUUGGGCGUAAAGAGCGCGUAGGCGGCUCGGUAAGCCGGAUGUGAAACCUCCAAGCUCAACUUGGAGCGGCCAUUCGGAACUGCUGUGGCUAGAGUCUGGUAGGGGAACACGGAAUUCCUGGUGUAGCGGUGAAAUGCUUAGAUAUCAGGAGGAACACCAGUGGCGAAGGCGGUGUUCUGGGCCAGUACUGACGCUGAGGCACGAAAGCGUGGGGAGCAAACAGG